GCAUUGAUGAUAAUCUUGAAAUGGUUGAAUUUCUAAUCGAACAUGGCGCUGAUAUAAACAGACAAGAUAAUGAAGGCUGGACGCCGCUGCAUGCCACCGCCUCAUGUGGCUUCGUGAGCAUAGCCCGCUAUUUGGUGGAGCAUGGCGCCGAUCCGGCCGCUGUAAAUAGCGACGGUGACUUGGCCGUGGACUUGGCUGUCGAUAUACAACAUUUGGCGAUGAUGGAUUUCAUGCAAAAGGUGAUGACUGAACACAAUAUCGACUGCGAGAAGGCGCGACAGGCGGAGGAGCAGCUAAUGCUGAGUGAUGCCAAGAAAUGGUUGCGCAGCGAUGCGUCCGAAGUGGAUCGGCCGCAUCCGAAAACAGGUGCCACAGCGCUGCACGUAGCCGCAGCAAAGGGCUAUACAAAGGUUAUAAGUUUACUACUCGCCGGUCGCGCUAAUGUUGAUAAACAGGACAAUGACGGCUGGACGCCGUUGCAUGCUGCAUCACAUUGGGGUCAAAAGGAGGCCGCCGAUAUGUUGGUCAAUGCCAUGGCCGAUAUGGAUAUACGCAAUUAUGCCGGUCAGACGUGCAUCGAUGUGGCCGAUCGUAAAAUGGCGAAAUUCUUGGAGGAAUUGCGUAGCACCAGCAACAAACGUGUCAAACGUCGUCCUUCUAGUCAAAUCAGAAUCUCAGAUAAAAUUGAAAAUCACAUUGAAAAUACGCCAACGAAAAUCAUACGAGUGGAAGUGAAAUCGGAUCAGUCAAAGGAUCAAGCGAAUGCUUCCAUAACCGAAAAUGAACUGCCAAUGAUUGAUAGUAGUGAUCAGCUGGAGCCUCAUAAUCUGGCGCGUAUAGCAGAGUAUGAUGAAACUGACUCUGAACUCACCGACUCAACAGAGAGCUCACACUCGACCAGCCUAUCUGAACCUGAAGAUGAGAAAUCAAAACAAUCGCAUGAAACUGUCAAACCAUCCGCCGUUGCUACAACAGACAACCAAACGGUUGAGGAUGAAGCGCCAUGGCGACGCAACAGCUUGGCAAGAGCGCGCACACAAAAUGAAAGUCCAACGAAAAUUCUUCCUGAAAAAGAUGUUAGUAAAACUAACAACACCACAGAGACAUCAGAUGUUAUUUUAAGACGCACUCAGAGCUUCGAGCAUGAUGAGAAAUUCUAUCAAAAAUAUCAUGAGCUGCGCGCACGCAUAAAAGCCAAUUCAUGCCCCAUAUUGCCGGCCAAGCAACAACAACUCAAUAAUAGUAACAACAGUAGUAACAGUAAUAGCCAAAAUAACAAUAGCAACAGUAGCAAUAGCAAUAACAACAUCAACAAUAAUAGCAAUAACAGUAACAAUAUUAAUAACAGUAAAAGUAACAUCAACACCAACAUUAUCAAUAAUCCCACAAGCGCAUUAGGCAACGUUUACACGCCCAUUCCAAAUUAUUCGGUACAAAGAUCGGCAUCACUCAAAGAUCAUAGAAAUUACAGAACCAUUUCGACGAACACGUCGUCCACAUCGAUAACGGCGGCGUACACAACAAGCACACCAACAACAGCUGAUUCGACUACGUCAAUAACGACAACCGGCAGCACCACCACCACACCGUCGACAACUACAACUACAACACCGAUACGCAGAUCCUUUGUGCCACCCGUGCGUGACGAGGAGAGCGAAACCCAGCGCAAGGCACACGCCAAACGCGUGCGUGAGACGCGUCGCUCCACACAAGGUGUCACGUUGGACGAAAUCAAGAGCGCCGAAGAGUUGGUCAAGAAGAAAAACUCAAAUAUGAACAACAACAAUAACAGCAGCAGCAAUGAAACGCAAGUAGCCACAGCAAUAGCAGGAACAAUACCAACAACAUCCGAACAACAAGAAGUUGAAGCUAUUGAGCCGCCACACACGGAACCGUCAGUAGCUGCCACACAAACGCUGCCAACCACAGAAACGCCGCUCGCGUCGCAGAGCCAAAUCGCGGAUGGCGAUGAAACAACGAUCACAGAGCAACAAGCCAGUCGUGCAGAUUGCACGCCAGCAGAGGAGAGUGAUAGGGAGGAGGAGGAAGAGAAAGAGUGUGAUCAGCAGGAUGAUGAAGCUGCUGUGGACAAUGAUGGCGAGGAUGUUUCCGCCUCUUUCACAAUUGUGGCGCCAACUCGAAAGAAUUCUAGUACGAAGGCAACAAUGCUAGAUGAUACCACAACGGAUGAUGCCACAACCACCGAUGACAACGAUGAAGAGGUGAGUGCCACAUACACGUUGACACCGCGUCAUUCGUUUGUCGGCAGCGCUGCACCCACCGAAACUGUGGAAACGACGAUAGUGGUCACGCCACCGGAAAUCAUAAUCAAUGAAAGCGAUUUAGAUAGCGAAACGGUACGAAAAAAAGCCGAGACAUAUGAAAUGGAGGAUGAAAAUGUGCCUGAGAGUGCGAACCAGCUUGAGAUUGAUGUCGACGUUGAGAAUGAGAAUGCGGAUGAGUCAAGCGAGUCUGAACAGCAGAACGAGAACGAAGAGGCGACAGAAAUAGCAAAUUUAAUCAAGGUCGAAGAUGUGCAGGCCGUGCUAGAGGCGGACGAUGAAGAAGAAUUGCUAGAAGAGAAGGCGGUGGACGCCGAAGAGGAGGUGGAAUCAGAUGAUAGUGAAAUUGUUGAAAUUAACGAGUUUGAAAAUGAAAAGACUGAAAGCUCUGCCACCAAAGAGUUGGCUACUAAUGAAAUAAGCGCUCCUAAAUCACACAUAUCCACGGGCAACAGCUCAGUCGAGUUACCGUCAGUUACACAAACUGAACGUGCACGCCAUAACACAUUAAUUCCAUUGCCGCUGGUUGGCGUGGCGUCAACUAGUGUGGCGCAUGCCACAGAUGCUACACCGGCCACGCCCACCAGCACGAGCGCGAAUACGCCCACACUCGAAAGUCCUGUGCGCUUGCGCGACAAGCGUAUACCUUACGACCCGGACAGCAACAAUGCCUUAACGUUAGCCGAACGCCUACGUUACGAAGCGAGCAAAUACAGCGCUGUCGGCGAUAGUGACGAAUCGUCGUCAUCGUCGACGGUCGUUAGUAAAACACGUUCACUACCACCAGCGUCGCUGGCAAGUGAUGCCGAUGCCAUCAAUGAGCUAUCAACAAAUUACGGUAAAAUUUCACUCAGCAGUCGUCGCAGCUUGGACUCAUCCUCACUGUCAUUGCACGGCAACAACGAGAGCCAAGCGGCUCAGGCGUCAUCUAAUGACACCCAAACCUUACAAAGUGCUAUCAGUAGUAUUAGUAGUUGUAGUAGCGGUAGCGGUACAGCGUUUGUGGCAACUACAACAACAGCGACGGCGCCGAGCAGCAGCAACAGUAGCAAUAAUAGUACAAUGGCUGAGCGACGUCCUUCUUGGCGUUUGAAAUUCGAUGCUGGCUGUAAGUUCAAAUUGGAAGAUGCAUCGAGUGGGAAUACAUUUCCGCCAAAUAACAGCACAAUUAUACCGAGCGCGCCAGCUGUUAUUGCCGCUGCCAAUUUAUCGUCAACCAUAUCACAACGGCGCAUCAACAGUAAUUCAUUGAACUCGUCGAAUCAGUCGUUGAACUCAAUUGGACGACCUGUGUCCGCACCAGUCAAUGCCACCACAUCCACCACAUUACUCAGCAAUGAUACUCACAGCGAGGGUGUUAGCAUUUUCGGCCGACGACUCACCGGUGGCAGCACCAAUAGCACUUAUAGCAGCAGCGCCACAACCCCAGCAGCUACCACGACAACGUCUACUGCAUCCACAACAACAGCUAACGUCACAGCCGCCACGGCUAAUUCGGCGUCUAAAACUAACGACGAUAAAGAUAAUGACAAAGAAAAUGAUAACCGCAAUUUGGCAGCUCAAUCGGCUAUACAACGAAGAAGGAAACCAAAACGAAGAUCCACCGGCGUUGUGCAUAUCGAUAUGGAUGAGCUCGAUCCAGAGCGGCAAGAUUCAGCAAACGAUGCGGAAGAGAAAGAUAAGGAGAAAGAGAGUGGCGGUGAGCGCGGCGCAUCGCGUUCACGUUUGAGCAGCACCACUAAUGCCAACACCAACGCAAACUCCACGACAGACGAGAAUAAAGCACGUGAUAGGUCAGAGAAUGGCGAAGCCAUCGACUACAAGGCUCUAUGGGAGGCUGUAAAAUUGGAGAAUGACAAGCUCAAGCAGCAGCUUAAGAAGAAAGAUGAUGAAAUCGUACAAAGUAGAGCAACACUCGAAAGAUUUACAAACGCAACAACUAAAAACUCACUCUCAGAGCUUGAAAAACGCGAAAGGAGAGCAAUGGAACGCAAACUUUCCGAAAUGGAAGAAGAGUUAAAGCUAUUGCAGAAGCUAAAGACUGAGAAUGAGCGUUUGCGUGCGGAGAAUCGCGCUCUCACGCGUGUCGUAUCCAAGUUGACCACCUCAGCUCAAAGUCAACUAGCUAAAAAAUCAAAAUAAAUUUAAUAAAUUCCUGAAAAAAAUUAUAAAAAAUUAAUUAAUUGUGAAUUAUAUACGCUAUAGACUAAGGAAAUGAGUAGUUGAAAAUUUGUUCACGAAUUGCGAAAUAUGUCUAAAGAUAAGUGUUCAUUAAAGAAAAGAGAAAGAAGCGAAUGUGCUACAGUAUUUAAGCUCGCAUUAGACUGGAGUAUUUGCACUGACACAAUGCGAUCACAGCUGAUGGAAAUUAUCUGCAUUACCGUUAUAAUCAAAAGUAACUAAAUAGAAAAUAACAAACCGCAUAGUAAGCUGUAAACAGUUUGAAAAUAAAGGCUCGCAUAGUACCCAAAAUUUUGGUUGUCGUGUAAAAGUAAAGGACAGAACAAUUGCCGAUCGAAAAUUGAGAAAUCUCACUACGAAAUUGGUUUGAAACUUGGUUGGUUUGGAAUUUGCAGCAAUACAUCACUGAAUUAUUGAGCGAAUUCAGUAAUGAUUAUUGUACGCCUGGAGCACAAACGGAGUAAGCUAAGUGAGAGAGAGAGUAACACUUACUAUCAUCUAGUAAAGCAGUGAAUUAGCGUUCGAAAAGAGUUAAGCGGCAGUUUGUCACGUGCCAAGCUACAGUAUCGCCGCACUUUGCAGUUUUCAUUGCUCAACAAUUGCUCGUAUACUCAUAGUUAUACUACAUACAUACAUACAAUAUUUAAAAGAUUAUAGUAAUUUAAUAUCAUAACCGCACAAUAAUCGAAUAAAACUAGUUGAAAUGAUUAUAAAGUGUAUUUAAUUAAGUGGAAGGUUAUUUAAAAACAAAAUCGCUCAGCGCAUAGCAUUUGAAGUAACGUUGAAUUCUUUAGCAUGUAAAAAAAUACUGGAAAAUUAAUCGAAAUUCAUCUCGAAGGCAAAAAAAAAAAAAUAAAGCUUCGUCUCCAACAGACAACGCGUAGCACUUUUCAGCUUUGGUUUCAUACAAAAUUAUUUUCAUCUUUAAACAACAACAGUCUCGACGUUGACUAAAUUCGAGGGUUUCCACUUACUUCAAAAUACUUAAUUAAAAUUUAUCUCAAAGGAAGAAAAUCUUUAAACAACAACAGUCGCGACGUCGACUAAAUUCGAAAGUUUUGACUUGUGGUUCCACCUACUUCGCAUUUACGCCGCAAUUGGAAGUUUACAAAACGGAGAAUCAACGCCUUAAAGAGGAAAACGGAGCGCUAAUUAGAGUAAUUA